rnacentral:rRNA from 1 species
AAUAGAUACCCGGGUAGUCCACGCCGUAAACGAUGGAUGCUAGCUGUUAUGCGUAUCGACCCGUGUAGUAGCGAAGCUAACGCGUUAAGCAUCCCGCCUGGGGAGUACGAACGCAAGUUUAAAACUCAAAGGAAUUGACGGGGACCCGCACAAGCGGUGGAGCGUGUUCUUUAAUUCGAGGCUAAGCGAAGAACCUUACCAGGGCUUGACAUCCUUGGAAUUUCUCCGAAAGGAGAGAGUACUUUAUUGGACCAAGUGACAGGUGCUGCAUGGCCGUCGUCAGCUCGUGUCGUGAGAUGUUUGGUUAAGUCCAUUAACGAGCGCAACCCUUAUGAAUAGUUGUAUUUUUCUAUUCAGACUGCCCCGGUAACGGGGAGAAGGGGGGGAUGAUGUCAGGUCAGUAUUGCCCUUACGCCCUGGGCUAGAAACGCGCUACAAUGGCCGGUACAAUGCGCUGCCAACCCGCGAGGGGGAGCAAAUCGCAUCAAAGCCGGUCCCAGUUCGGAUAAGAGGCUGAAACUCGCCUCUUGAAGCCGGAAUCGCUAGUAAUCGGU